UUCCGAUCUGGUGGAUGCCUUGGCAUCAAGAGCCGAUGAAGGACGUUGGAGCCUGCGAUAAGCCCUGGGGAGUUGGCAACCGAGCUGUGAUCCGGGGGUGUCCGAAUGGGGAAACCCGGCUGGAGUCAUGUCCAGUCACUCGCGCCUGAAUAAAAUAGGGCGUGUAGAGGGAACGUGGGGAAGUGAAACAUCUCAGUACCCAUAGGAAGAGAAAACAAAAGUGAUUCCGAGAGUAGUGGCGAGCGAAAUCGGAUGAGGCUAAACCUCAUGUGUGUGAUACCCGGCAGGGGUUGCAUGUGAGGGGUCGUGGGAGCAUUCAUGUCCAUCUGCCGGUGGGCGAGACAGUAAGAAAGUACACGUGAAGUUGAAGUCCGUUGGAAAGCGGCGCCGUAGAGGGUGAUAGCCCCGUAAGUGUAAGUGUGUGCCUGUCGAGUGAUUUCCCAAGUAACACGGAACCCCUGAAAUUCCGUGUGAAUCUGGCGGGACCACCCGUUAAGCCUAAAUACUUCUUGAUGACCGAUAGCGGACAAGUACCGUGAGGGAAAGGUGAAAAGUACCCCUGGCGGGGAGUGAAAUAGUACCUGAAACCGUGUGCCUACAAUCCGUCAGAGCCCGGCUGCCCCUUGUGGGUGUUGGGGUGAUGGCGUGCCUUUUGAAGAAUGAGCCUGCGAGUUAGCGUUGUGUUGCGAGGUUAACCCGUGUGGGGAAGCCGUAGCGAAAGCGAGUCCUAAUAGGGCGUUUGAGUAGCACGAUCUAGACCCGAAGCGAAGUGAUCUAUCCAUGGGCAGGUUGAAGCGCGGGUAAGACCGCGUGGAGGACCGAACCCACUUAGGUUGAAAACUGAGGGGAUGACCUGUGGAUAGGGGUGAAAGGCCAAUCAAACUUCGUGAUAGCUGGUUCUCCCCGAAAUGCAUUUAGGUGCAGCGUUGCGUGUUUCUUGCCGGAGGUAGAGCACUGGAUAGCCGAUGGGCCCGACCAGGUUACUGACGUUAGCCAAACUCCGAAUGCCGGUAAGUGAGAGCGCAGCAGUGAGACAGUGGGGGAUAAGCUCCAUUGUCGAGAGGGAAACAGCCCAGACCAUCAGCUAAGGCCCCUAAGCGGUGACUAAGUGGAAAAGGAUGUGGAGUCGCAGUGACAACCAGGAGGUUGGCUUGGAAGCAGCCACCCUUGAAAGAGUGCGUAAUAGCUCACUGGUCAAGUGAUUCCGCGCCGACAAUGUAACGGGGCUCAAGCACACCACCGAAGUCGUAGCAUUCAAACUAUAGGUAGGCCUUCGUGGUCCAGCCGUGUGAAUGGGUAGGAGAGCGUCGUGUGGCGAGCGAAGCGGCGGAGUGAUCCAGCCGUGGACGCCACACGAGUGAGAAUGCAGGCAUGAGUAGCGAAAGACGGGUGAGAAACCCGUCCUCCGGAAGACCAAGGGUUCCAGGGCCAGGCUAAUCCGCCCUGGGUAAGUCGGGACCUAAGACGAGGCCGACAGGCGUAGUCGAUGGACAACGGGUUGAUAUUCCCGUACCCGCGAAGAACCGCAAGAGCUAAACCAGUAAUGCUAAGAGUCCGAAUUCUCUUUCUGAUCCCUUCGGGGUGAGGAUUGAGAGCUAGCACUCGACCCUAUGCUGGCGCGGCUAGCGUAUUAACAGGUGUGACGCAGGAAGGUAGCUGAGCCGGGCGAUGGUUGUCCCGGUGUAAGGAUGUAGGGCGAGGAAUAGGCAAAUCCGUUCCUCACGAAGCCUGAGAUCCGACGCGUACCCCUCACGGGGGAAAUCAGUGAUCCUAUGCUGCCAAGAAAAGCAUCGACGCGAGGUUCUAGUGGCCCGUACCCCAAACCGACUCAGGUGGUCAGGUAGAGAAUACUAAGGAGAUCGAGAGAAUCGUGGUUAAGGAACUCGGCAAAAUGCCCCCGUAACUUCGGGAGAAGGGGGGCCGGAUUGGUGAAGGGAUUUACUCCUGGAGCUAUGAAGGCCGCAGAGACCAGUGGGAAGCGACUGUUUACUAAAAACACAGGUCCGUGCUAAGUCGCAAGACGAUGUAUACGGACUGACGCCUGCCCGGUGCUGGAAGGUUAAGAGGAGCGGUUAGCACUUGUGCAAAGCUGCGAAUUUAAGCCCCAGUAAACGGCGGUGGUAACUAUAACCAUCCUAAGGUAGCGAAAUUCCUUGUCGGGUAAGUUCCGACCUGCACGAAUGGCGUAACGACUUCCCAGCUGUCUCAACCGCGAACUCGGCGAAAUUGCACUACGAGUAAAGAUGCUCGUUACGCGCAGCAGGACGGAAAGACCCCGUGACCUUUACUACAGCUUUGUAUUGGUGUUCGGUGUGGCUUGUGUAGGAUAGGUGGGAGACUUUGAAGCGGACACGCCAGUGUUUGUGGAGUCAUUGUUGAAAUACCACUCUGGUCACUCUGGAUAUCUAACUUCGAACCGUAAUCCGGUUCAGGGACAGUGCAUGGUGGGUAGUUUAACUGGGGCGGUUGCCUCCCAAAAAGUAACGGAGGCGCCCAAAGGUUCCCUCAGCCUGGUUGGCAAUCAGGUGGCGAGUGUAAGUGCACAAGGGAGCUUGACUGUGAGACUGACAGGUCGAGCAGGGACGAAAGUCGGGACUAGUGAUCCGGCAGUGGCUUGUGGAAGCGCUGUCGCUCAACGGAUAAAAGGUACCUCGGGGAUAACAGGCUGAUCUUGCCCAAGAG
rnacentral:rRNA from 1 species